rnacentral:lncRNA from 1 species
AUGAGUAAACAUAUACAUGCCCUUCAAAACCACGCAUGGCUCAGAUGCCCGAGAUGGUUGAGCUCUGACUAAACUGCCCUCUGUGCUUGUGGGAGUGAGUGGGGAGGUGUUCAUGGGAGGUGUUGAUGAGCUUGUGCUUAUGUCUUUGUAAAUCAUUCAGCUAUUUCAGCACCACAGCAGAGACUUUCCAAUAGAAAUCAGUGUCACAGACACAGAAAGCUCUGGAUGGUAAAGUGGCAGUGAGUACGAAGAGAGAGAGAGAGGAGGAGAGACAAUACAAGGAGAGAAGUCAGUGAGUGUGAUUGCUAGACCAGCGCACAUUGGAGCGGAGAGCAGCGUUGUGGACCUGCGCUGCUGUCAGAGCUCUUUGCUUUGGAAUCUGUCAGACAGCGAAAUGAUAUAUGAUAAAGACAAGUUUACAUAAAGUAUCAACAUUUUUAACAAGUUCUACUUUUGCACAAAAGGGGAAGUAGCUGGUGUUUUCUCUCUCGUCGCUCACAGGGACUUACUUCUCCCAAUCGCACUUUCAUAUUCCAAGUGAGACGGGGACGGUUGAGAUUAUGGGGACGGUGAGCGAACUCUGUGCGUCGAGCUUCCAGGCGUUCUUGUGUCCCACAGUUUGCCCGGCUCCUCCAGCAGCUCUUUUCCAAAACCUAAUGAGCUGCUUCGCUGCCUACAGCCUACACAAGCAGCUGCUUUAUAUGACAGCAGACUGGAAUUGGACUUGAGUUGAGUGAUUUUCAACACUUUUCAAGAAUUCAUACAAAUAGCAGUUUGUAUUUGUAGCUCUUGGGUGAUUCAUCAACUCAGUAAUUGUUUUCAAUAUAUAGUCGUCAUGUUAGGAAUGGCACAAAUGUUUAAUUUAAUUUUGGAGCUUUUUGAACUCUUUUGAGCUAGCUGAAAAUUUUAAACUCGCAAGGCAAUCAGCGAAAAAUAGAUUAUAGACAUGUCCGGUUUGAAAUAUCUGGCUGUAUCAGAAAAUGUUAUUAUUUUAAUUGUUUUUUAUGUUUUUAUUUGUGCCAUUGAAAAUCAUCCCACAAAUAAACUCGACCUUCAAAUAUUUACUUCUUUGUUGAUUUGAGCACACUUUUGUUUUGGUUUUGAUACAAAAGCAAGCUACUUUAUCUUAUUGCUUCAGAAAACUAAAAUUGCACGGUUCAUAUGGACGUAUGAUAACACCAUUUUUGGAGCUUGAGACUCCCAAUGCAUCACUUUCACUAUAUUGAAAAGUCUUCAAAAGAGCGGCCAGGAUAUUAUUCAGAACUUCACCUGUUGUGUUUUACAGAAUAAAGAAACUCAUGUACUCACAGGUGAGUAAAUAAUGACAUCAUUUUCAUUUUUGGGUGAAUUAUUUGUUUAAGCCAAAUCUCUCUUUGACCUUAUGGAGCACCCCUGCCAUAUUGGCCCUAGGACCAUUGUGCAUUUUAAUAUGUGGACUUGUUGGGUUCUGGAGCUGCAGCUGUCAAAGCAGUGAGUAAUGACAUCAUAAACACAGAGGCAGCCUCUGGGCUUUCUGUUACUGUCUGACGCUUUGCUCUGCUCUGCUCCAGAUUUGGACUUUAUUGGAACAGGCCAUCAACAUACCGAGCACUGCCAUGACUGGUUCUACAGUAUGUUUGAAAUGAGGAAGAAUACCUCCUCUUACAUUUUAUAUACAGUAUAAAUGUAGCAAAAUCUUGACACAAACUAUUCAGAAUGACUGUUUUAUUAGAUAUGGGAGAUCAUCCUGUCACAGAUGUAUUACUCCUGCUGUCACCUCAGACUCCCGCGGAGGAUCAGGAGGAUUUAUUGGCAUAGUAUCACAAGUGCUGUAACUUCUUAAAUC